AAUCAACGAAAACUCGCCCGCUGCUUCAAAUAGUAGUAUUAUACUCCCUCUUUCCAAUCCAGCCCCAACUCGCCUUAACCUUCGCCCUCACACUUCAACCAUUAUUACAACCCCUACCCCUAUCCAUUCCCUCUCCGUUUGUCCCGUAAUUUUCUCCAAAUAUAAGGGCCUAUAUUUUCCGAAUCUUUCAACUAAAUCCUCCAUUUUCCCUUUUUCUCCUCUUCACUCCACCAGCUCAAAUUUUCCACUCCACUUUAGUCCUCAACAGUCGAAUGCCGAUGCCGGAGGCCGAAGGGCAUGGUAAAAACAAACCGAGAGCAACUCGUCCUCCGGUUAGGGAACCGGUUCGACCACAACGAGUCCCCUUACGUUUUCUUCUCCGAGUCUCAUCCGUCGCGUGCGGAAUUCAGUUCGGUUGGGCGCUACAGUUAUCGUUACUGACUCCCUACGUACAAGAACUCGGGAUUCCUCACGCCUGGGCGAGUAUAAUAUGGUUAUGCGGACCGAUUUCCGGUUUUUUCGUUCAACCGCUGGUUGGUCACAUGAGCGAUCGGUGCAAAAGUCGGCUCGGCCGUCGAAGGCCUUUUAUUAUUGCCGGCGCGGCAUCGAUCGUCGUUGCCGUUCUCGUCAUCGGUUUCUCGGCUGAUAUCGGCUGGCUUUUCGGCGACCGCGGGGAAAUCAAGCUACGCGCUAUUGUGGCUUUCGUCAUAGGGUUUUGGCUCCUCGAUGUUGCGAAUAACAUGACGCAAGGUCCUUGUAGAGCUCUCCUCGCUGAUCUAACUGAAAAGGAUCACCGGAGGACUCGAGUAGCAAAUGCAUAUUUUUCACUAUGGAUGGCUGUUGGAAAUAUCCUUGGCUAUGCCACUGGAGCUUACAGUGGUUGGUUCAAACUUUUACCCUUUACGCUCAGUUCUGCGUGCAACGUCAACUGUGCAAAUCUUAAGGCCGCCUUCCUUAUUGACAUUAUCUUUAUAGCAAUUACGACAUAUAUAAGCAUAUCAGGAGCCCAGGAGAAGCCGCUGGAUUCCCUCCAUGGUUCACCUGCUUCUGUAGAAGGAAGUUCUGAACAGUCAAGCCAUGAACAAGAAGCUUUCCUUUGGGAAAUGUUUGGAACUUUUAAAUAUUUCACUGGGGUUAUAUGGAUUAUCUUGCUUGCUAUUGCUUUGAAUUGGAUUGGAUGGUUUCCUUUUCUUCUCUUUGAUACUGAUUGGAUGGGGCGAGAAAUUUAUGGUGGGGAGCCAAAUGUUGGCCAGAAUUACAGUGUUGGAGUCAGAAUGGGUGCUUUUGGUCUAAUGUUGAAUUCAGUGUUCCUUGGAGUAACUUCAGUGCUCAUGGAGAAGCUCUGCCGGAAAUGGGGGGCUGGUUUUACAUGGGGAGUUUCAAACAUCAUCAUGUCUCUUUGUUUUGUUGCAAUGCUUAUAAUUGCUGCAGUCAGAACUCAUAUGGACAUUGGUGACCAUCUUCCUCCAGAUGGUGUUGUGAUUGCUGCACUGGUAGUAUUUUCCAUUCUUGGGAUUCCCCUCGCGAUAACCUACAGUGUUCCCUAUGCCUUGAUAUCCUCACGGAUUGAUGCUUUAGGGCUUGGCCAGGGAUUGUCAAUGGGUGUUCUCAAUUUGGCAAUUGUGGUCCCACAGAUUUUGGUCUCUCUUGGAAGCGGACCUUGGGAUGAGCUAUUUGGUGGUGGCAACUCACCAGCCUUUGCAGUUGCAGCUGUUUCAGCAUUUGCUAGUGGACUCAUAGCCAUUCUGGCAAUUCCUCGAACAAGGGUGGAAAAAUCAAGAAUCCUCCCCUGAGGUAUGAUAGGCUAUUUACUUGAAGUAAUUUUGCUGCUGCCCACCAUUGGAUUGGCGUCUUAUGGGAGCCAAGGAUAUGGUGCAGGUGAAUCCCAAUGCUGGCAGGAACUUAAAUCAUUGUGGCAUGUGGAAUUUUGGCUAUUCCACCAUCAAAGGAUUAAUAUCCAGGCUCCACAAUGAGUUGACCAGGGACUGAAGCGCUGAUGAAAUGUAAACAAGUUUCUUGUGGAUUGAAGACCUAAUGAAAAGGAGUGGACUCCUGUGGAGCUUCUUUCUCUUGGACAUUGGUGGAUUUGACACUCAAAUGAGCAUUCCUUCCUCUGACAUGAAUGUUAUCAUCUCAGGACUGCUGCAAUUUGCUCGAUUUCUCUAGCAGUCUUGAGUACUCUAGGAAUAAGUUACUUUUGCUGUUAGUCUCUUCAUGCAGGAAAUAGCAAAUUCAACUAAGAUCAACAUUUGAGAUUGUUGUAGCAUCUAAAACUAAGAAGAUUUUUAUUAAGAUUCAAGGGAGGUGGUUUUGGUGGCGUUCAUGUGGUUAAACGAAAAGAAGCUUCGUCAGUAGUUCCAGGUUAUGCAAUUACUAUCUUUUGGUUUAUAGUUUCUAAGCUACACUUCAUGGGGAUAUAUUUACUAAAGCAAAAUCUUUUGUAUGCAAUGUUUAUUUAUUAGAGGAAUUUCGACUGCUUACAAGUGAUGCGGUUUUGAUAAUGUGCUGGAAUCUAUGAAUCUGAACCUUUGGUGUGCAAAAUUGCUAAAUGUUUCCUGUAAGGUAUAUGAUUGGUGGCUAACAGUUCAUGGAAUGAUGCCUUGAUUGUGACUUCAACGUAGAUGUCUUGGUACAUUGUAUUCUUUUCGUACAUUUUCUGAAACUUGUAAUCCAUAAGGUUUGGUUGAUUUCUGUGAAGGAUUCCCUCUUCCGUUAUUCUCUCUUUUCCUUCCUUGCAUCUGAACCUUGGAAUAAAUUCCUAUUAUGUAUUUUGCACUAGUGAGCAUCAAUCGAAGGAAGGUCUGCCUUCUGCAGACUGGGUAGAGCUUCUUGUUAGUGCACCAGAAACAUCUGUA